GAAUGUGAGGUGAUCUGGCCAUAACAUCUGUCACCCCAUUGAUCACCAGGGUUAAUUCAUCUGAUCUGAUGGCCAGGCAGGUAUCCCCUCUUCCUCUCUCACCACUCC
rnacentral:sRNA from 1 species